GAUGAAGAACGUAGCGAAAUGCGAUAAGUAAUGUGAAUUGCAGAAUUCAGUGAAUCAUCGAAUCUUUGAACGCACAUUGCGCCCAUUAGUAUUCUAGUGGGCAUGCCUGAUCGAGCGUCAUUAAGUCCACUUAAGCCCUGCUUAGUGUUGGGAGACUGCUCCAGCGGUGCUACCCUGUAGCUACCCUGCAGCUCCUCAAAGACAGCGGCGGAGUUGUGGUAUCCUCUGAGCUUAGUAACUUGUUCUAGCUUUCGAGUACACCACUUCCCCUGCCGUAAAACCCUUAAUUUUUAAUGGUUGACCUCGGAUCAGGUAGGAAUACCCGCUGAACUUAAGCAUAUCAAUAAGCGGAGGA
rnacentral:misc_RNA from 1 species